CAUAGGGUUUUUCUGAGGAUGACAAAGCACUGAAAGUCCCUAGCACAUGUGCUCACUGUUAAUGUCAUUAAGAACUACAGGAACUGGGCUGUCAAAUAAUUAAGGUCAUAAUCUUUAUUACAUGUGUCUUGGAGUUCUUUGCCCAAUUAGACAAACCUUCUUGAAAUUAUAGGCAUUGUUUUUUUGUCUUUGUUUUUGUUUCUCCUAAAGCAGAUGACACAGUGCUGUUUAUGUUGGCCAGCACCCAAUAAGCAAAUAAUGGGAAAUUGAUUAUUGAUUAUUUCCUCAUUCCCAAGUGAAAAGGAGAAAGGUAUCUCUAUUGGAGAUGAACGCAUGUUCAAUACACGUGGCCUGCCUGAGUCAUUAGCAAAGUGUCCAACAACUCUGAGGCGUAUCCUCAAAUGAAGCCUUGUCUCUGUGAAAUUCCUGGUAAGAGAAGUUGAGGCAUCAAUAGUGGAUCAGGAGGUAUUUUUAGGGGAAGAGGAGUCUCAGUAUUCAUGGAACUCAAUGAGACCUCCACCUACACAAGGCCAAGGCUGCAUAUGGAUGUAGAGAAAUAAAACUCAGAUGUUGAAAAGUAUCUGAAGAGAUGAUAGCAAAGGGAAAUUAUCUUUUAUCUUUCAGAUAAAUCGUCAUUUUAUGGAAUGCCACAGGAAGAAGUUUUCUUUACAAGUUCUGAAGACUUGUGAUGAAUGAGUCCAUAGUUUCACCUUUGAAAAUGUCCCUGGGAGUGUCAACCCCAUCACUUUUACUUAUAUUACACUCAUAAUCAGUUCAUCUCGCCAAGAAAAAUAAUAUUAUCCUCAUGCCCAAACUUGUGACUUGAUUUGAAAACCAGUAAAUCAGAAAUAAAACUUCCCAUGUGUUUUUUUCCUACAUGAAUCCAAGUGACUCAGAUAUUGUGUUAUUCAAUAAGACUAUUACCAUGACUCAGGUAAAAGGGCCGUUUAUAUUUUCUGAAGUCUCAAGUCUAGGGUC
rnacentral:lncRNA from 1 species